rnacentral:rRNA from 1 species
ACACAUGCAAGUCGAGGGGAAACGAUGGGAGGGCUUGCCCUCCCAGGCGUCGACCGGCGCACGGGUGAGUAACACGUAUCCAACCUGCCCUCUUCCGGGGAACAACCUUGCGAAAGUAAGACUAAUGCCCCAUGUGUCCUCAGACGGCAUCAGACGAGGACGAAAGAUUUAUCGGAAGUGGAUGGGGAUGCGCCUGAUUAGGCAGUUGGCGGGGCAACGGCCCACCAAGCCGACGAUCAGUAGGGGUUCUGAGAGGAAGGUCCCCCACAUUGGAACUGAGACACGGUCCAAACUCCUACGGGAGGCAGCAGUGAGGAAUAUUGGUCAAUGGGCGAGAGCCUGAACCAGCCAAGUAGCGUGCAGGACGACGGCCCUAUGGGUUGUAAACUGCUUCUGCGCGGGGAUAAAGUGCGCCACGUGUGGCUCAUUGCAGGUACCGCGCGAAUAAGGACCGGCUAAUUCCGUGCCAGCAGCCGCGGUAAUACGGAAGGUCCGGGCGUUAUCCGGAUUCAUUGGGUUUA